rnacentral:snRNA from 1 species
GUGCUUCCUUCGGCAGCACAUAUACUAAGAUUGGAACAAUACAGAGAAGAUUAGCAUGGUCCCUGUGCAAAGAUGACAUGCAAAUUUGUGAAGCAUUCCAUAUUUUU